AUGCCGGGGCCGCCGCCGCCGCCGCCGCUGCUGCUGCUGCUGCUGCUCCUGGCCGUGGGCCACGCCGGGGCCGCUCCACUUCCGCAAACAGGUGCAGGGGAGGCACCUGUUGCAGAAAUUACCACGUCUUUUGUGAUCCUCUCUGUGGGCAGUUUAAUGAUAUUAAUAGUGUUAAUUGCAAACUGUGUAUCCUGCUGUAAGGACCCAGAAAUAGACUUUAAGGAGUUUGAAGAUAAUUUUGAUGAUGAGAUUGAUUUUACACCACCAGCAGAAGACACGCCCUCUGUCCAGUCUCCAGCAGAAGUCUUCACACUUUCAGUACCAACUGUCUCGCUACCAGCUCCAUCACAGUUCCAGCCUUCAGUAGAAGGUUUGAAGUCCCAAGUUGCCCGCCACAGUCUGAACUACAUACAGGAAAUUGGGAAUGGCUGGUUUGGAAAGGUGCUCCUUGGAGAGAUCUACACAGGCACUAGUGUAGCGAGAGUAAUCGUGAAGGAGUUAAAAGCAAGCGCAAGCCCGAAGGAGCAAGACACUUUUUUGAAAAAUGGAGAACCAUACUAUAUCCUUCAGCAUCCAAAUGUCCUCCAGUGUGUCGGACAGUGUGUAGAAGCAAUCCCCUAUCUUCUGGUGUUCGAGUUCUGUGACCUGGGCGACCUGAAGGCUUACCUGCGUGGCGGCGAGCCGGAGCCGGCGCGGGGGGACGCGCAGACCAUGCUGCUGCAGAGGCUGGCGUGCGAGAUCGCAGCGGGGCUGGCGGCCAUGCACAAGCGGCACUUCCUGCACAGUGACUUAGCCCUGCGAAACUGCUUUCUCACCUCGGACUUAAAUGUGAAAGUGGGUGAUUAUGGAAUAGGAUUCAGCAGGUACAAGGAGGAUUAUAUUGAGACAGAUGAUAAAAAAUUUUUCCCUCUUCGGUGGACUGCUCCAGAAUUAGUAACCAGCUUUCAAGACAGACUGCUAACUGCAGAUCAAACUAAAUAUAGUAACAUCUGGUCCCUGGGUGUGACGCUUUGGGAGCUCUUUGAGAAUGCUGCUCAGCCUUAUUCCAACCUCUCCAACUUAGAUGUUCUCAACCAGGUCAUUCGAGAGAGGGACACGAAACUCCCAAAGCCCCAGCUGGAGCAGCCCUACUCCGACAGAUGGUAUGAAGUCCUGCAGUUCUGCUGGCUGUCCCCAGACAAGCGGCCAGCAGCGGAGGAUGUGCACAGGCUGCUCACCUACCUGCGGAUGCAAAGCCAGAGGGACCCGGAAGUGGACUUUGAGCAGCAGUGGAACGCGCUCAAGCCCACCGCAAACAGCAGAGAUGCUGCAAGUAACGCCGCCUUCCCCAUCCUCGACCACUUCACCAGGGACCGGCUAGGCCGAGAGAUGGAGGAGGUCCUCACUGUGACCGAGACCAGCCAAGGCCUGAGCUUCGAGUACGUCUGGGAGGCGGCCAAGCACGACCAUUUCGACGAGCGUAGCCGGGGCCCCCCGGAUGAAGCCUUGUCCUACACCAGCAUCUUCUUCCCCACGGAAGCAUUCGAGAGCUCGCUCUCAGACCCUGGUCCUGGCAAGCAGGAUGACAGUGGCCAGGAUGUCCCCCUGCGGGCCCCCGGGGUGGUGCCCGUUUUCGACGCCCACAACCUUUCUGUCGGAAGCGACUACUACAUCCAGUUAGAAGAAAAAAGCCGUAGCAACUUGGAGCUAGAUUACCCGCCUGCUCUGCUCACGACAGAGAUGGAUAAUCCUGAGAGGCUUGGGGACGGCGCGUCCCAGUGUCUGACACUCAGGAGCCUGGAGCUUGAGGAGUCCAGUACAGAGGAGGAUUUCUUCCAGAACAGUGCAGACCCCAAAGACGCCAGCAGACCCGAGGAGGCGCCCAGCACCAAGGGCCCUGAGAGCCCUUUCAACAGUUUAUUUAAUGACCUUGAGAAGUCAGAGGCUUUGCCCAGUCACCAAAAAAUAUUUGACUUGAUGGAACUAAAUGGAAUCCAAGCUGACUUUAAGCCUCCCACCCUGAGUUCAAGUUUGGAUGACCCCAAAGAGUCCGUAAUCGCCCGCCACUUGGAGAAGGAAAAGCCCCGUAAGCUUUUUGACUGCGAGCCUCUUUACUCCACAAACAAACUCGUACACCAAGAUGGUUUUGAUCAGCUGGACACUGAAGAGUUGUCAGAAAACUUUUUAUUUCUUCAGGAGAAGAACUUACUGAAAGACUCUUUGUCCAGCAAAGAGCAUGUAAGUGAUCUGCAGACAGAACUCAGAAAUGCUGGCUUUCCUGAAUCCAUGUUAGAAACUCCCAGUAGAAAGUCUGUAGAGGCUGAGCCUAAGUUUGCUGAAAAUAAACCGGACUCUUCACUGCAGGAGAGCGUCAGCAUGCAGGACAAGGAGUCGGGCGCAGCGCCCAAGGGUGGUGCUGGGGCAGCGGCCUCACCUUGCUCCCUACAGCCGCAGGUACCUCCUACCUCGCUCGAAACCCAGGGGCCGCCUCACGAUGUGCCCCCAGGGGCGGCCCUGAAGCAGGGCGGAGCCAGGCCCACAUGUCCAGAGGGCGGUGUCCGUGAAGACAGCACCUGCCGAGAGGCAAACCCAGACUUCACGUGCGCCCCGUUGGACACCCCCGCCCCCACCGGCAGCGGGUCCCCAGCCCUGACUCAGAUGGGGGAGGGGGCCGUGAGCCUGACCCAGAGUGACCCCAGCCUGGUCCAGGACACCCCCACCAGCAAGGUGAGUAUAGGGAACGGCCUUCCAGAAUCGAGGCAGAACUUAAAAAACCAGCCGCCUUUGGAAGACCACGGCCCUCGAGGCCCGCGGGAGAGAGCCCGGGAGGCCGCGGAGGCGCUGGGGCAGCUGGGUCAUAAAGAUGCUGCUGCAGAGGAGGGCGGCUUGGUGUCUGCCUUCUCCUCAGACUCGGCCAGUCAGGACAGCCUCCUGGAGGACAGCUUGUCGGCGCCUGGCCCCCCUUCCGAGCCAUCCACGGAGACCCCGGACUCCCUGGAUUCGGUGGAUGUCCAUGAGGCUUUCCUGGGCUCCUUAGGCCCUCAUGCACCACAGAAACUCCUGACCCCCGACAAGCCAGCGGACAGCGGCUACGAGACGGAGAACCUGGAGUCCCCCGAGUGGACGCUGCACCCGGCCCCCGAGGGUGCCGCGGCGCCCGACACAGCCUCGGUGGGUGAGAGCGUGCCCACCGGGCUGCCUCCCAAGCCUGUCAUCGUCAUCUCAGAUGCCGCCGAUGGCCACAGAGGCACGGAGGCGACCUCGCAGACUGCUGCGCCUGCGUCCCAGGGCUCACACCGAGACUCUGCGUACUUCUCAGACAACGACUCUGAGCCCGACAGGAGGUCGGAGGGAACCCCGGGCACCUCGGCGUCGAACCUGGGAGCGGACCAGCCCCUGCCUGAGCCCGGGGUCCUGCCGCAGAGUCCUGGCCCCCUGGACAGCUGCCUGGACACCAGCAGCAGCCCACCUGACCCUAGCUGUCCUCCUGCUCCGCAGAACUCCCAUCACCUGGAAUCCAGAGAACCCGCAGAACCAGCUCCCCCUGAUGCUCCCACACACACACUUCCCCCCGAUGAUGAGGCCGGCAGCCCCUCGAGUCUGCAGAACUCGGAGCUGAGCAGCGGGGAUGACCUCGAGGCCCCCGAGGAGCCCCCCUGCACGCUGGCUUCCACCGGCACCAACACCGACGAACUCCUGGCCCCCACGGCCCCGACGCCAGAGAAGGCCUUGUGCAGCCACUCCGAGGGCCCCAAGCUGAAGGAACCGGACGUGGAGGGAAAGUACCUGGGGAAGCUUGGCGUGUCGGGCAUGCUGGACCUCGCCGAGGAUGGGAUGGACGCUGACGAGGAGGACGAGAACAGUGAAGACUCGGACGAGGACCUGCGGGCCUUCACCCUGCACAGCCUGAGUUCUGAGUCCGAGGACGAGGCCGAGCACCCGGUGCCCGUGGUCCUCAGCCGCGAGGACGGCCUCCAUCUGCGGAGCCUGCUGAAGCCCUCAGACCCACCGCCCGGCUGCAGGAGGGAGAGGAAGGCAGUGACGUUUUUCGAUGAUGUCACAGUCUAUCUCUUUGACCAGGAAACCCCGACCAAAGAGCUGGGCCACUGUGGGGGAGCCGCACGCAGCCCGGAGCGGAGCAGCCCCGCGCCGGCGGCAGGCUCCCCGCACCUGAGCCGGGGCCUGAACUCCGAGAGCUCCACCGACGAAGAAGGCGGAGGCUUCGAGUGGGACGACGACUUCUCCCCAGACCCUUUCCUGUCAAGGACGAGUCACCUCCUCAGCUCCAAGCCGGCGCUUCAGACCUCCAAGUACUUCUCCCCGCCGCCGCCCCGCAGCGCGGAGCCCAGCUGGCCGCACGCAGCCCCCUACUCCAGGUUCUCCAUCACCCCCGCCAGCAUCGCCAGCUUCUCGCUCACGCACCUCACAGAUUCGGACAUGGAGCAGGGAGGAAGCAGCGAAGACGGAGAGAAAGACUAGGCAAUGCCUAGGCCCCUCGGACCCAGGUUGUUCUGGCGGCAGUGUCCCGGGCCAGGACGAGGCCGCCGGCGCCCGGCCAGUUCUCCUGCACCGGCUGCCACCCAGGCCUCCCCUGCCCACUGGAAGGGCCGACGUGGGGGCUGUGGGCUCCAGGUGGCUUCCGGUUCCCACGUGGAGUGUCCUCCGCAUCCACACCUGUGUGUCCCGUCCGUGUGCAGGGCCCUGCGGACCACAAGGGGAAUGGCACCAGUGA
rnacentral:lncRNA from 1 species